rnacentral:rRNA from 1 species
AACGAACGCCGGCGGCAUGCCUAACACAUGCAAGUCGAACGAGACCUUCGGGUCUAGUGGCGCACGGGUGCGUAACGCGUGGGAACCUGCCCUUAGGUUCGGAAUAACUCCCCGAAAGGGGUGCUAAUACCGGAUAAUGUCUUCGGACCAAAGAUUUAUCGCCUUUGGAUGGGCCCGCGUUGGAUUAGCUAGUUGGUAGGGUAAAAGCCUACCAAGGCGACGAUCCAUAGCUGGUCUGAGAGGAUGAUCAGCCACACUGGGACUGAGACACGGCCCAGACUCCGACGGGAGGCAGCAGUGGGGAAGAUUGGACAAUGGGCGAAAGCCUGAUCCAGCAAUGCCGCGUGAGUGAUGAAGGCCUUAGGGUUGUAAAGCUCUUUUACCCGGGAUGAUAAUGACAGUACCGGGAGAAUAAGCUCCGGCGACUCCGUG